rnacentral:rRNA from 1 species
UAGGGAAUCUUCCACAAUGGACGAAAGUACUGAUGGAGCAACGCCGCGUGAGUGAAGAAGGGUUUCGGCUCGUAAAGCUCUGUUGGUAGUGAAGAAAGAUAGAGGUAGUAACUGGCCUUUAUUUGACGGUAAUUACUUAGAAAGUCACGGCUAACUACGUGCC